rnacentral:ncRNA from 1 species
UUAAAUAAUGGGCAAAGCAGUCGAAAGGCUGUGACGCAAUAUAGGGCCUGUGAAAUGGCAGCCAGUUGCAGAU